UUCACCGAUGCCAAAGCCGCGCCGACGACGUGAUUGCGGCGGCGCUCGCGAGCUCACCUCCUUCCUUACCGUCAUCUAGCGCCACCGCCGAUCUCCCCCACCGCGCCCCGACAUAUCCCCUUACGGAAUCCCCCACCGCCCAUGGUUCUGCACUCGGCCGUGCUCGACCACGCUAGAUCCGUGGCCUUGGACGACCUCCCCUCGCCAGUUCUUGGUUCUAGGAACAAUUCGUCCUCCCCUCUCUCGUUUCCACUGUAUAGACUCUCUUUUUCUUGUUCGUUUUUAACCGGUCAUCUCUGCAUGUUUCUCUCAGAUCAUGAACCGCAUCGACAGGUGGUGGAGGUGAGAUAAGAGGAGGAAGGCGAUUGGAGCGCAGUGCGCACCAUAAGCAUUGGCGACUCCGUCCUCACCUCCUGCUCUAACAAUUCCUCCUCCCUUCUCUGUUUUGUUGUCAUAUCUACUAGCCGUGGUUGCCUUAUAGCACUUCACUUAUAUUGUUAAUUGGUAGUAAAUCACUAGGUUGGAUAACAUCUUUUUUUAAUAUAUCUGAUUCGAGUUUAUGAGGGAAUCAAAAAGCUGCUGCUUGUUAGGAUUGCUUUAGUGAUUGCCGUACUAUCUUUGUGAUGUUCCAUACAUUUUUAACAUGGUACUCAUUCUAUUGCAGAAUCAGUUGGUCGUUUUAUACUGAUAUUUAAUUUUGAGACAACCGCAUGUAUUUAUCAGUUUACUUCGUCUUCUAUCAUGACAAUACUACAGUUUAUGUUCUAUAUCAUUACAGAGUGCCUCGCUACUGAAAUAAUCUGUUUAUCUUCUUUCUAUAUCUUGACAUUACUGCAGCACCAAAAUAUACCAUGCCUACCUUUUGCUAGCUCACUUAGUGCUCUUGUUGGCUAAUUUAUUGCUCUUAGUAGCCCUUCAACCUCUGUUUACGCAUUUUUGCAUGUGCCUGCGUUAGGUAGCUCAGUGUGUCUUCUUUCUUUUUAAUUAAUUCCUCUUGCUAGUGCCUAACUCUUGUUCACUCUUCCAUGCAUGUGCUUUAUAGAUGGGUAUAUUCCAUGCGCCAACCCUGGCUUCUGCACCCUAGUCGUAUUUUGAGUUUGCUGCACUUUAAACAGCAGCAGCGCUGCCUUCUCUGAACUAUGAGCUCCAGGCCUAAGAAAUUUGGCGGUGUCGCUGAAGUACUGUUGGUCUAGGCGCACCAAUCCUUGGUGCCGCCGGAUCUGUCCACAGAAGACGACCUCGGGUUUCCCCAGGCUAGGCCGUCCGCCCUACGUCCUCGAGCCGGCCAGAUCUGUCUUGUCCCGACGACUUCCUCUCAUUCACCGGCUCACCGCGGGCUCCCAAGUCGUGGUUAAUGGCAUCCGCCGCAGGCUCGCUCAUCGUCUCGUCCACCACGGGCUCUCUCCAUGAGUUGACGGAGAAGAAGCUGGCGACCUCCAUGCGGGGGAUCAAGGUGCAGAAGCUUGUCCUCGACAUCUCCGUUGGUGAGUAAAGGUCGCCUCACCCGCACGUCC